AUUUAUUCCUCCAGCCAUCAGCCUCCACAACUCCCAUCUUCUUCAGUCAUUCCUCUUCAAAUAUCACAAAUGCACAUCAACCACUAUUUUCCAGCUUCCACACUUUCAUGUUUCCUUUUUAAAUGUUCAUGGUACACAUUCACUAAAUCAAAACACCAAACAAGGCACCAUAACCACCAACAUUAGCACUGCAUUAGACAAAAACAUCUAAACCGACAAUGCGAUUGCAGGCAAGUAGUUACUGCUUUCUUUUCCUUCUUAUAUUGUUCUGCUCUGCUUUCAUGGAUACUAACUCUCCACUUUCAAUCACAGAGAACCAUCUUCAUUGCUUUUCUUCUCACUUUCUUUACUGCUCUCAAGGCGGGCUUUCUUUAAAACCUCUUGAUCCUUUUCCAUUAAUCUUUUAAUUCCUAAACAAUGUUUACUCGCUCUCAUUCUGAUCAGGAGUGACAGAUAUGUGUAUUAGACAGAAACUGCAACUCAGGUCUACACUGUGAACUUGUGUAGCAAAUGGAAAUCUAAGGCCUCGAUGCACCGGAAUCCAACCUAUAAUUCCUGCCUCAAAGGUGAAUGGAUUGCUGUUUAAUGAGCAUGCUUGGCUAACAACCCACAAUUCGUCUGCCAUGGGAGAUCUGUCUGCAACAGGGUCCAUUAUUCUAGCUUCCACGAACAGCAAGACACGGUUACUAGUCAGCUUAAUAAUGGCAUUAGAGAAUUAAUUAAUGCUUGAUAUGUACGACUUCCAGAAUGACAUCUGGUUGUGCCACUCCUUCGGAGGAAACUGCUACAACAUUGCAGCUUUUCAACCAGUAUUAAUGUUCUGAAAGAGAUUCAAGCAUUUCACGAAGCCAGCCCAUCAGAAAUCAUCACCAUUUUCAUCGAGGACUAUGUUACAUCACCAAGAGGCUUGACAAAAGUGUUGGAUGCCGCUGGCCUAAUGAAAUAUUGGUUUCCUGUAUCUCAGAUGCCAAAAAACAGUGGCAAGUGGCCAACAGUUGAUGAUAUGGUCCGGAAGAAUCAGCGUCUAGUGGUUUUCACUUCAAAGUCUGCUGAGGAGGCCUCUGAAGGAAUUGCCUAUCAAUGGAGAUAUGUUGUGGAAAUCCAAUCUGAGUCCUAUUAUUUUCUUGAAUUUGGAACAAUUCACUGGCUAGUGAGAACAAAUCAACAUUUAUGGGUGGGGAGAUUGCAGGUGAAGAUGGUGAAAUGAUUGCUGGUUCAUGUCCAAACCGCGCAGAAUCGCCUGCCUCGGUCGCAACAUCAAGGUCACUAGUUUUAGUAAACUAUUUUCCUGACAAGACAGAUGUUACACAAGCCUGCAAGCAUAAUUCUGCUCCCUUGAUGGAUACGAUGAACACAUGUUAUCAGGCUGCGGGUAAACGGUGGCCUAACUUCAUUGCAGUUGAUUUUUAUAAGAGGAGUGGUGGCGGGGGAGCCCCAGCUGCUGUAGAUGUCUCGAGAGGUCAUAUAGUUUGCGGAUGCGGAAAUGUUGCCACUUGCAAGCCAAAUAUGACCUUUGGUGUAUGUAACCUAACCUGCCCGAGCCAAUUAUUGCCAAUUCAAGCUUUGCAAACCUACCUGGUGGCAUUUUUCUUCUCGUUGCCGAUUUAAAUUCUGUACCUGUGUUCUUUGGAUGCACUAAUUACAGAAAAGAUAUGCCUUUCUAGCCAAUAGGGACGUGUACGCAAAAGUUCUGUUAUUCCACAUAUUUUCAUUUGGAUGCACAAGUGUUUCAAUUGCUAGGGUUGGCUGUAUUGAACAUGUCUGUUGGCCACCUACCUUCCUUUCCGAAACAGAUAAUCUGGUGAAUAUUGAAUUGAUAACCAUCACUA